GACAUUUUUGAACAUUCUUCCUAUAAAAUUGGUUUAUUGACCAUAACCAAACAAGCAUAUAUAUCAUUUUAUGUGAAUUAAAUACAAUAUUAAUGCCUCAAACAUAGUUGAUACUCAAUAACUGACAGAAAAAUGAACUUUUGAAAGACAGAUUUUCAUAUCAAUUAAUUUCAACAUACAUUACCACAUAUAACUGAAAAAAUUCAACUGUAUAAAUGUAUCACCACUAAUUUCCCUAGCAUUAGGACUUCAUAAAAAGAUUACAUAUAAUUUGACAAGUAUAACUAUGGCUGUAAUGAAUAUCCUAGAGUUUACAUACAGGUUUGAAAACUCCAAUUACAUCCUAUAGGUAAAUUUCUAAGAAAAAACGUUAGUCAAAAUGUGCUGAUUUCCGUCUAAUACAUAUUUUUUACCAUGUGUUGGAAAGAUUUUAAUCCAGAAGGAGUCUGAAAUUACCCACACUUUGUUAACAAACGUACCUAUUAAUCUAAUAGGUGAAAAAGGUAAUUGUUAAUCUAUUUUGUGUGUUUGUGUCUGUGUUUUUAAACACACACAUAUAUUUAAUGUAUAUAUUUAUAAAAAUUGAUGAUUUAAUACAUUUUUGUUUAAUUACGAAGAUUGAUAGGUUUGAGUAUACUUUUUAUGUGUUCUUGGCCAUUCACAAUCCUUUUAUGAAUUUCUCAUUUAUGUACUUUCCACUUUUGUAGUGGAAUGAUUGCCUUUUUCUAAUUGAUUUGGGUCAGGCUUUCAUAGAAAUAGUAACACUAAAAUGGUCAUGUAAGUUUCAAGUAACAAUACAGGUAAAUUCUCAGUUCAUUGCAAAGUAAUCAAUAACCCAAAUUCAAUUUUAAGUUAAUGGGUUUUAGCUACUAUUUUUCGCUCCUCUAACUCUUCAAUGCAUAUAAGAUGGAGAAAACUUGGAAGACAAAUUUUAAUUGAAUUAAAGAUAGUAUUCAUUAAUUAGGUAUACUGUUGAAUCUUCCACAUUUUUACAAACUAGGUUAAAUAAUAGCCUUGGAAUAUACAAAUCCUAUUCUGAGAGGUUGAAACAAUUACCAAAAAAGGAUCAUAUGAAGUCAAAAUAGACUGAAGUCAAUGGCUAAGGAGACUGGAUAACACCAAAGACGUGGAGAGACAUUUUGACUUGAAGUGUAUUGAAGGGGGAAAGAAGGCAGGAAUGAGUUUGGACACAAUGGACAAAUGGAAUAUGGGAGAAGUAUGCUCAAUUUAAAAUAUAGUUUAUUGGUUAUAACUGGAAAGGGGUUCAUAUCUCCCCAGUCACUUAUACAAUACUGGCUUUACAUUGUUUAUGUUGACAUGUAGUAUUCAUUGACAGCACUCUCUUAUAAAUAAGAUUUACAGAGGAGCUAAAAAUAAUUUUCAUGAAAAUAAAAUGGGGAGAUAAUUUUUAAAUAUUUUUUACAAUGGUGGGGCUAAUGUGAUUAUUUUCCAGGUUCUGGUUUAACCACUUAUCUUGUUCAGGAUGUGGUACUCAAGCCCACAGCCUGCUGUUAUAAAUAAAGUUUUAUUGGAACACUGAAAUUGUUUUAUUGGAAAACAAAUUGUUAUUUGGCCCUUUACAGAAAAGGUUUACCAAUCCAUGGUCUAGUUUAGCAUAGACUGAGCUGAUAAUUCCAUGCAAUUAAUACUGAGUUUUAAAAUAUGGAGGCUGUACUGAAAAGACAGUCACAGAGACUAAAUUUUAGAAGCUGAGACAGAAUGGAGGCAGCUCUAUUUUGAGGUUUCAAAUUUGAUCAUGGUAGCAAGUCCAGAGUUCCUGAUAGACAUGUUCCUGAGUUAAUAUCCCUGUUAUUAUGUUCUAUUCUUGCUGUCACUUUAUAUAUCAUCACCUCAGAGACCACUGUCAUCACUAUCAUUUUAUAUGGGGGUAACUCCUUUGAUUCUCCAUUGUCGUACUCUUCAACUUAGCAUACUUAAUAGCAGGACGGAUGUAUGGAUAGAUGGAGAUUAGACAGCUAGCUAGAUGAUAUACAAACUAUAGGUGACAAGAUGGGUGACUAAAUGAUAAUGUAUCUAUUAAUAAGUUAGGCAGAUGAUAGGUAGAGAUAGAUAGAUUACAGAAGAUAGAACGGUAGAUAAACAGUUGACAUGUAGGAAUGUCAAAGUGAAAAAAUUUGCACAUCAAAUACAAUUGAAAGGUUAAUUUCAUCUUCGCCAAAAUCAGAGGUUGUAAGAUAACCAUAUCCCAAUGUCAUCUUCAAUAAAAAAAUGUUACGUCAAGAGAUGGAUCAAUUCAGUAUUAAAAGAACUCAUAGCAAAUGUUUGCAACACUGCACAAUUAACAAAAUAGUACAAAUAUCUAUGAACAAAUGGUAACAAUUAAUUAAAUGACAUAUUUCUAAUAUCAACUCACUCCAAUCUUUUUUUACUUUGCUUUUUCUAACAAAACCAUCCAUUUUCUAACUUAUUAUUUUAUUGUAAAUACCAUGAAAGAGAAACUAUCCAUUUAAAAGUAUGGAAUGAUAAGAAGUUCCCAUCAUGGCACAGUGUAAAUGAAUCAGACUAGGAACCAUGAGGUUGUGGGUUCAAUCCUUGGCCUCACUCUGUGAGUUAAGGAUCCAACAUUGCCUUGAGCUGUGGUGUAGGUCACAAACGCUCAGAUCUGGCGUUGUCGUGGCUGUGGCCUAUAGUUCUGAUUAGACCUCUAGCCUGGGAACCUCCACGUGCCAUGGGUGCGGCCCUAAAAAGACAAAAGACAAAAAAAAUUUUAAUUUAAAAAAAAAUUUUAAAAAGUAUAGAAUGAUUAUUUUUAAAUGUAUGAUAUAUGACUUUCUGAGUAAGUCAAGAAUAUGAACAAAACCAAGUCCCAGUCAAAAGGAGCUCAUUUGUUCAAAGCUAUCGGGAGACACAGAGAAAAUCAUAAAACAAAUUGUUUAGUUAAGAACUCUUCAUAACUACUCUCUGUUAAAGUACCUAUCAUAUCACACUUUGCUAGCUAAAACUUUUGCUUCAACUACUUUCUAUAUUAACUACCUAAAGAAUGGAUUUUAUUUCAACAAAGUCCAGAACACUGUGGAAAAUUAUCUUUAAAGUAAUAAUGGAGAAAACCCAAUCAUAAUUCUACAGAGAGUAACUAUAUCAAUCAAUAAAAAGGACUAAAAGGACAGAGUCAGAUAAAAGAAAACAAAGAACUUAUCACCAGUCAACUUGGCAUGAAGGAAAAUUCUUUGGGAAGACAGAUAAUGAUAACAGAAGGAAACACAGAUGUUCAGGAUAGAGUAAAAAGAAUUAAAACUGGUUAAUACCUAGGUAGUUAUGAAGUAUUUUCCCCUCUUAAACUAUUUAAUAUAAAUAUACCUGUUUAAAACAAUUAUGGCAUUGGCUAUAGGGUUUAUAGUAGAUAUAGAUAUAUAUGACGACUAUAGAAUAAGAGGGGCCGGAGACUAGGCAAUUAGGUACAUAUUAUUGCAAGAUUCUUCUUUUUAUGUGAAGAGAUUUAAUAGUCUUUAAAAGACUGAAAUAACUAAAUAUGUAUAUUGUAAUCACUAGGAAAACCAGCAAAAUUGCAUAAAGGUAGAGUUAAAAAGGAAUAGGAAAAGAAAAUUCUGAAAAAAAGUCAAAAGGUAGGGAAGAAGGGACAGAAUAAUAAGAAACAAAAGACACAUACUAAAAGGGAGUACACACAAAGCAACAAAUGACAAAACUGGUGGACUUAAAUCCACCUUUUUAAUGAUUAUAUUAGUCAUUGAAUAAACACUCAAUCGUUAAUGGCUAAAACAUAUCCCAACUACAUGCUAUCUAAAAUUACAAAACGUUAUACAUAAAGAUACAGGUAGGAAGAAAUAAAAAGAGGGAAAGAUACACUCUACAAACAGAAGGCGUAAGAAAGCUAGAGUUGUUAUAUUAAUUUCAGAAAAAAUAAACUUCAAAUCAAUUAUUACCAGAGAUAGAGAUAUUUCUUAAUAGAGUCAAUUUACAAGGAAAGUAUAACAAUCAUGAGAGUUUAUAUGACUAAUAACAAAGUUUCAACUUGAAUGAAAUGAAACUGGAAGAAAUAAAAGGAGUAGUAAAUAAAUCUACAGUCAUAGCUCUUUCAGUAAUUUAUAGAAAAAAACCAAAGUAUUAGUCAUAGAAGUAAAACACUACAGCAAAUAUCAGAAUCAAUUCAUGUCUAGGGCAUAUUCACCAAGAUGAACUAUAUACUAGGCCAAAAAACAAUAUUAAAAUCUUUAAAAUCAUUCAAAUGAUAUAGAAUAUAUUAACUGAUCAUAAUGAAAAUUAGAAAUCAAUACAAUAAAAUGUCUUUAAAGAAUGAAAGGAAAACAGUGAAAGACUUACCUAUUUGUACAGCAAAUGAAAUUUCUAUAGCUAAUAAAAAUUUCUCUGAUUUUUCAUAGUUGUAUGAUCUUAACUUAGGGAAGUUCUAGAGUUAAGCAAUCCUUACUUGAGAGAGUAAGUAAGCAUAGAAUUGAAAUGCAACCCUACAUCUUCCCAUGGUAGCACAAUAGUAUUGGCAGCAUCUUGGGAGUGUUGGGAUGAGGGUUCAAUCCUCAGCCCAGCACCAUGGGUUAAGGAUCCAGUGUUGCUGCAGUUGCAGCUCAGGCAACUGUGGCUUGGAUCUGAUCCAUGGCCUGAUAAUUGCAUAUGCCAUGGAGCAACCAAAAAAAAAAAAGACUAAAGAAAAAGAAAUAUAACUCUACAAUAACAUGUCUACAUCUCAAUAAGACAUAAUGGAAGAAAAAAUAUUUUUUUACUGUCAUUAAUACAGGUUACCAUACACAAGGCCAGAAAAUCAAAAGACUAAAUUGUUAUUAAAGAAAACAUCUCAAAUUUCAAAAACACGUUAGAGCAAAGAUAAAAAUUUUGAUGGAAAAGCAAGGAUUCAAAACUUAGGAACUGGGAGGCAACAAGAUCGUGACAAAGGAAGCUCCUGAGCUUCCCUCCUCAUACUGACACAUCAAAUGGACAAUUACACAUGGAGCAACACCCAGCAACUAGCUGAGCAACUCCUACAUGCCAGACAAAUGAGAAAAUACCCACAUCAAAACAGGUAGGAAAAACUGUUCCUUCCAUACUCUUGCCAUAAACCCUCCUCUCAGCACAGUGCCCGACAAUUAGGAGAGAAGCCCUGACUUCUAGCUUCUCCCUGAAAACCAAAGGGCUUGGACUCCAUAUCUAGCACUCAAACUUAUAAGAUUCACCAGAGACAGGCUCACAAAAACCACUUGCUCUAAAAACCAAUGGAGCUUGUGUCCACAAGCCUCAUAAGUAUAUAGCAUAGAACCAAUUCUUAACAAGCAUGCAAGCACUCACCACAGCUAUCAUCCCAGCAAUCUGCACAGAGGAAAAAGGCAAAAGUGUCCACCUCAUAGUUUUCCCCUGAAAGAGUAUCUGUGUACUUUAAAAUUAAGCUGCUGCCUGAAGUCCAGUCUUCUAAUUUAACAGGCAUUAGGGACUAACCAUGAUCCUCCCCAGAAAAUGGGGAAGUGGACAACAUUCCUUCCCACUCAAGAUGACUCUAAAUUCCUAGUAUCUCCCUGGAAGGAGCUAGUACACAUGCCUACACCCCAGAUUUUAUAGCUGCUCCCCGAGAAAUGGGUCUCCAGACCAUCAGUCUUAUAGCUAAAGGGGGUUCCACUAACAAGUUCCAUAGGACUAUAGAAAACAAAGGAGCAAUUUCUAGCUGGCUAUCCCCUUAGGGCGCAGUGCAAAAGGAGCAAAAAAAUUUACCCAUUUCCCAAUCUUUCCCUGAAAAAGUUUUAUAUACAUACUGUAAAAGAUAGAAAAACACACCAUGUUCAUGGAUUGGGAGAAUAAAUAUCAGAAAAUGACCAUACUACCCAAAGCAAUCUACAGAUUCAAUGCAAUCCUUAUCAAAAUACCAACGGCAUUUUUCACAGAACUAGAACAAAUUUUAAAAUUUGUAUUGUAAAACAAAAGACACUUAAUAGCAAAAAAAAAAAAAAAUUUUUAAGCAAAAAAGAACAGAGCUGGAGGAAUUACACUCCCUGGCUACAAAGCUACAAUAAUCAAAACAGAAUGGUACUGGCACAAAAACAGACACAUAGACCAAUGGAACAAGACAGAAAGCCCAGAAAUAAACACUUGCCCUUAUUGAUCAAUUAAUCUAAGACAAAAGAAGUAAGAAGACAGUGCAGCAGCUUGGGUCACUGCUGGGGUGAGGGUUUGAUCCCUGGCAAAGGAACUUCCACAUGCCACAGGCAC
rnacentral:lncRNA from 1 species